UUUAAAUUCAAGUUAGUUCAAAUAGAAAUGGUCUAGGAAUAUGAUACUUUCUUUGUACUGCUUUUAUGUUUAUUUCAGCUGAUCAAUGCACAUAUGGUGGGGAGUUCAUUUUUUGUAGGCUCACUGCAAUUCUUAUUAAGAAAACAACCUUAUUGUCUUUAGGCUCACUGAAAGUAUCAAGACAACUCCAUCAAAUAACAAAAAAAAGUGCACCAUGGGACUUGUACUAUGCUUUUGGAUAUAACAGAGACAAAAAAAAAGUUUUAAAGACAAACAGUGAGAAUAAGCAAUGAAUGCACAAGGACCUAUUUACAAUGGUAGGGUGGAAAAGACCAGUGAAGAACCUAGUAGGAUACCAGCUGCUUCACAAACUUGUGAGUACCUCUCAUUUUUUUAAGUAGACAAAACAUAGUCAUUGUGCCUUGUUAAAAACCUGAAAUUGAAAAUGAAAUUACUAAUAAAAUUACAAAAAUGCCCA
rnacentral:lncRNA from 1 species